rnacentral:rRNA from 1 species
AUUAUAUCAGUUAUAGUUUAUUUGAUAAUACCUUACUACUUGGAUAACCGUAGUAAUUCUAGAGCUAAUACAUGCAUUAAAUUCUCUUCUUCUGGUGGAGAUGCGUUUAUUAGAUAUCAACCAACCCUUUUCGGAGGUCUUUGGUGAGUCAUAAUAACUGUGCGGAUCGCAGAGGCCUUUGUGCCGGCGAUGAAUCAUUCAAGUUUCUGCCCUAUCAGCUUUCGAUGGUAGUGUAUUGGACUACCAUGGCGGUGACGGGUAACGGAGAAUUAGGGUUCGAUUCCGGAGAGGGAGCCUGAGAAAUGGCUACCACAUCCAAGGAAGGCAGCAGGCGCGUAAAUUACCCAAUCCCAAUUCGGGGAGGUAGUGACAAUAAAUAUCAAUGCGGGGCACACAGUGUCUUGCAAUUGGAAUGAGUACAAUUUAAAUCCCUUAACGAG